rfam:Tetraodon nigroviridis, WGS project CAAE01000000 data, contig: CNS0BZ2I, chromosome: 16
GGACUCGAACCCGUAGAUCCGAACUUGUGUUACCUGACUGGAAGCCACAAGCUCGGAUCUACAGGUCUGCGUCCG